rnacentral:lncRNA from 1 species
UGUUAAAAUUAGCAUUGAAAUAUUUAAUAUAUUUUCUUUUGGAGAUUACUAAAAUGUACUUUAUUUAUUUUGUUUGAGGUGCAUGACAGCUAGAGAGGGACAUCAUUUUGUUUAAGCCUUAUAUAUCUAAUUGAUUUGUAUUAUUAGCAGGCUUUGUUGUAGUUAUACUGACUUUCUGUCACUGAAGUAGUGGCAAUAUCUUUGUUAGAUUGGUUAGUUGACUCUUAUGCAGUCGUAUGCUUUGCCUUGUUGGGGGGUUUGGCCAGGCAAUAAUGGCAUAUGAAGUAUGAGAUUGAGUGGGAGGUAGGAGGGUUUGAUUAGGGAAGCUGUUUACCUGAUAAGCCUGUGUGUGUGUGUGUGUGUGUGUAUGUGUGUAAUUACUCUAUGUCCUGUGACCAUUGACUCAAUAACACAUUGUGGUUGAUCAUGUUGGUAAAUACUAUACAAUUUAAUCCCAGUUCCAAGUCGCCUGACUGUGAUAAGGCAUCUGAUGGCCACAGCUGAGUCACAGCACCUCCAUAAUUAAAAAUACCAAAUGCAUAAAGCCAGUUACAUGUGAACACAAGCUGAUAUGAUAUUCCACUGGAAUAUCUUAUUUAAGAAUAAAAAGUGUUAAGGGAAAAAUGGCCCCAAAAUAAGUACCAAAUGCAAGACAUAAUUCCUUUGGAGUUUCCUGGUGGCCUAGUGGUUAAAGACUGGUAUUGCCACUGCUGUGGCUUGGGGAUGACCCCUGGCCCUGGAACUUCAGCAUGCCACAAGUGUGGACAGAUGGAUGGAUGGAUGGAUAGAUAACUCAUUUAUAGAAAUUCCCAUGAUUCUUGGGCCCUGAACUAGGAGAGAGGCACAUCUGUGGGCAGUUGAUGAUUUAUCAAGGCUUUCUAUGUUCUGGUUGUUGGUUAUGAAAAGCGUGUUGACUGGAAAAUGUUUGGACAUAAUGUGAUAUGUAGAAUUAAUAAAUAUAGUCCUAUAUACUAUCAAUCAUUUCAGUUACCCCAUGAAUAUUCUGUAGUGACUGGAAUCUAAUAAGAAUUGAACUAUCUUUUGUUUUGUGGCACCUGCAGCAUGUAGAACUUCCCAGGUCUGGGAUUAAACCCAAGCCACAGCAGUAACCUGGCCACAGCAGUCUUAAUGCCAAGUUCUUAACCACUAGGCCAUGAGGGAAUUCCUGGAUUGAACUGUUUAAUGUGUCCUGUAAUAACAGUAGGCUGAAGUACAUGCUUAUACACAUAAGGGAGAUAAAUGAUACAUAAUUACAUGAUCAUGUAUUAUGUGUAAUAAAACAUAUGUAUUGUGCUUACCUGUGUGGAAGGACAUGUAAUACACAAUGUACAUAGUAAUGUCAGUUUUAUGAUAAGAUUUUUAGUAUUUACACAGCACAUAAAAAUAGUGUAAAUGUUCCAUAUGCAAAUGGUUCAGGGAAGAGUUUAAGUUGAAUUCCAAAUUUGGGAGCUGAAGGUGGAGCUAGAGCUUCUUCCUUGAGUCAGGAAGAUGCGUUGUUCUACUUUUCUGAUUUACAAACAAGGGUCAUAAAUAUACUGCAAAGUCUCUUUUUUUAAGGUGGUCAUUUUCAAUCAUGCUUGUCAUUAGUAUAAGGACAAGAAUGAAAAUAAUUAUAGAGUAGGGGAGUUCCCAUUGUGGCUCAGAGGUAACAAACCCAAACCAUACCCAUGAAGAAGCAGGUUUGAUCCCUGCCCUUUCCCAGUGGUUCAAGGAUCCAGAGUUGCCAUGAGCUGUGGUGUAGGUCAUGGCUCAGAUCCCACAUUGCCAUGGCUGUGGUGCAGGCCAGGAACUAUAACCCCAAUUCAAUCCCUAGCCUGGGAAUUUCCACAUGCCUCACCAGUGGCCCUAAAAAAAAAAAAGCAUAGAAUAGAUGCUAGUUUGGGUUUACGUAGCCAAAAAAUGAAAACAAAGCUGAGGUGGAUGCCCGGGUUUUAUUCAGUGGGCAAAGAAUGGAUAAGUAGGACCUUAGUUACAGAUGAAGUUCCCAGCCAAGUUGUGAGAGGUCUUUGAUUUUAAGGAGUAAAGAUAAAGGGAGGAGGAGUGAGGCUAAUGACAGGGAGGCCUGACCAUUGCCCUUCAGGGAAGGGUCAGGGCUUUCCUGGAAAUGGGUGCCACCCCCCUUUUAUCCUUUUUUGGUCAGCAUCUUCCAGUCACGACCACCAGUAGGUGUGUCAUCUAGUAGCUAAUGUGGCAAAAUCUGUUGAAUGAGACUCGGAGUCUGGGGAGGCCAGAGUCGUCAUCAUCCUGAUUCCACCUGGUUCCGUCUGGUUUGUCUCUUCCUAUAGCUUCCUCUUCUUGUCUCCAGACCUUUCACUUCUCAACACACGAUAACUCCAGUUCAAGGAGGGUUUCGCAGGCUUUGGCAAGGAUCUGCUGUCGGCUCUGGCAACAACACCCCCUUUCCUCGUCACUACUCCCCAUUCUUGAGGAGGAAGGUCUGUCUUCUGGGGCUGCUUCCUGCUGAACAUGGGCAUAGGUUUCCCCUGGAUUAGAAGUGCAGAACUGUCCCUGCCCCGUCUAACAUAAGCCUGAGCUUCACAAGGCUGCACUCUCAGUUCUUGUACCCUUGUGUUAGUAUCAUCUGAAGUUUGAGGAAUUCAAGUUCUUUACUAAUGAAGUUGACAAGGCAGUUAUGGAAGCAAGGCCUAAAGAUGAACAGGAGGAUAAUUGCAGUCAGUGUGCCAAGAAAUGGAAGAAACCAGUUUAAACUAGAAAGGCUCUCUUUGACCUUAUUCCAGAUGGAGCUUGGAUUGGGACCUUUGGGGGGAUACCUUUGUGCCCUUUGAGCUUGCUUAUACAUCUCUUUUAUGGUUACCUCAAUCUGACCAGAGUUAUUCCCAUGCAUGUGGUGGGUUUUAUUAAUAACUAUGCAGAAUUUCCCUUGCUCAGCCAGGAAGUAGUCAAGGGCUAGCCUAUUGUCAAGUACAAUAUUUUCUACUGAGUCCAGAUAAGCAUGAAAUAAAGCAUCCCUCGUGCUUUUAGGCAAGUCCUCAGGGGCUCAUGUAAGGAUUUGUACAGUGAUUUCAUGGUAUGCAGAACCUCCCCAGGGGGGCACCAAAUCCCCCUUGCUCUAGUCCAAGAGCAAUCCCUACUCCUGCUGGAGGGAAUCUUUUUGCCCCUUUAUCUCAGUGCUGGAUGAUAUUAUGGUUAUACCUAGGUUCCUAGAACUUACCAGCCUAGUGUGCAUUGUGCACAAAUGGGGCAUCAUUUAAGCAAGGAUCCAGAAUUGCUGCAAGAUGCAGCACAGGUUGCAGAUGCAGCUGGGAUCUGGCAUUGCUGUGGCUGUGGUAUAGGACAACAGCUGCAGCUCCUAUUUGACUCCUACCCUGGGGACUUCCAUAUGUCUCAGAUGCAGCCCUAAAAAGAAAAACAAAAAACAAAAAAAGAAACUUCUGGACAUAUAUCUGGAGAAAACCAUAAUUGGAAAAGUUAUAUGCACCCCAAUAUUCAUUGUGGAACUACUGACACUAUCCAAGACAUAGAAGCCACGUAAAUGUCCUUUGACAGAGGAAUGGCUAAAGAUGUGGUAUAUAUCAUGGAAUGUUACUUGGCUGUAAAAAGAAUGAAAUAAUGCCAUUUGCAGCAACAUGGGUGGACCUAGAGUUUAACAUACCAAGUAAAUCAGACAAAUAUCUUAUGAGAUCACUUCUAUGUGGAAUCUAGUAAAAUUAUACAAAACUUCCUUAUAAAAUGGAAACAAACACAGUUCUUAAAACUGAACUUAUGGUUACCCAGGGGGAAACCAUGGGGAGUGGGAAUAAAUUGGAACAAUAAUAUUAGCAUAUACACACUACAAUGUACAGAAUAGAUAAUGGGCAAGAAUCUGUUGCAGAGCACAGAGGAAUAUACUCAAUAUUCUGUAAUAACCUAUAUGGGAAAAAAAAUGAAUACCUCUCUGUCUCUGUCUCUGUCUCUCUCUCUCACUCACACACACACACACACUCAAGUAAAAUUAAAUAAAUAAUAAAGGGAAACAUUCAAAUUAUGUCAAGACACUCAUCAAGGCUUGAUCUCCCUUUUCCCCAUAGCACUUGUACGAAUGCGAAUAGUCCCUAAAGGAAAAAUCAUGUUGAGUCCAUAUGAGACCAUGUAUGGGAGGCACAUUCCUGAAGGAACUGGCUCUGAGACCACCCUGGGGGAUAUGGACCAAUAGAAAUAUGCCUUUCAGAGAGGGGGAAAUAAUCACAGCUUUACACCACGCGACGAUCCAGAACUACCUUCUCCUUGUGAGCCACAGUGGGAAAUCCAGGAGUUCCUUUUGAGGGUUUGAUUUGUUCUACUUUCCUGAGGAUUGUGGUUUCCAAGUGGAGGGUAAACCCCAUGUAAUUCCUAGAGCUCUAGAGACUCCCUUAGUAAUUUGGGGAACAAAGGCAGGCCCAUUGUCCCUCUUGAUGGACUUAGGGGGCCCAAACAGGGAAUUCUUUCCUUGAGAAAGGUCUUAGAAACCUCCAAGGCAGUCUCAGUUCAGGUGAGAAAUGACUCCAUCCAGUCUGAGAAGGUGUCAGUCAAAACCCACAAACAUCUAAAAUUUCCUUGUGCCCAGAGCAUUACUGUAAAAUCAGUUUGCCAGUCUUGACCUGAACAUGUGCCUCGAUACCAGAUAUGGGUCACUCCAGUAACCUUGGGGAGGGUGAGUUUGGGGCCUGUCCUGGAGGCAGGGCAAGUUUCAACCAGCCUCGUAGUGGUGGACAGGGAGAAAGGACUGUGCUGGGAGAUUUUGACAGAGCUCACUGUCUCAUAUAAGGCCUGUGGUGGUUUUUAGAGUGAGAGGAGGAGGGAAAUCAACACAAGAGGAGUUGGCUUGAAUAUUGGGCAAGCACUGCUCCAGGAUCAGACUUGCACACUGGGUCUGGAAAGCUGGACUGGUGGUCAUGAAUGAAGAGUGUAAAAAGCAGAGUUUCCUUGGUGGGCAGGCUGUGACGAUCCUACAGACCUGUCUCUUGGUUCUCUGAAAAAUUUCUUCUUUUUCUCCCAUUUGAGCCUCUCCCUCCUCUGGAUCACCCCUGAGGAAAAAUAUGACUCAAGAAAAGUCAUGUAAAUUAGGAGGGGAGGAUAAUUAAUUUUUAAAAGUUCACCUGAUUCAGAGUGGCCGUGGCUGAUUGACUAAGAGGAAUGGUGAAGGAUGGGGAGGAGUGAGAGCCACAGCUGAAUUGAAGGGGGAAAGUACACGCUCUGGACAGCUCUUGAUUCUUCUUAGAAGAGGAACUAAAUCAGCUAUCCCAGCCAGGGCAGUCCUUGGGUUUGUUCAGGAGGCAGGAGGAAGUGCUCUGAGUUGUCAUUGGAGGGAAUGGCCGCCGGAGGGCGCUGAAGUGCCAUCCAAGCACAGCAGCUGCUUGGUGUUGGCACUGCUAGGCUGAGAUGUGGUUGCAGAUGGGGAUGCUGGGUACCCCAGGAGAUGUCCUGCCAGGAGGGGUUGCUUACAGGUCGCAACUGACACUCCAGGCCAAAUUGGCUUACCUGGUGAAAGGAAACUUAUGCCACCUUCACACAUCUGGGUCACUUUCAAGUGGCACAGCUAGCCCAAAGCCCACAUUAAAGGACAGCUCUUAAAGGUUCAGACUGCCUUUUGAUUCUCUAGAGGUAGAAUUCUGAAACACAUGCGGUUGGUUUGAGUAUUGGGCAUUUGGUUGUCCAGAAUCAGGCUUCCAUGAUGUUUGGCAUCUGGAGAGCAGGGCCAGUGGUCAUCAGUGGAGAGUAUAAAACAGGGGUCCUUUGGAGGGCAGGCUAUGCCCAUCCCAGAAAACUGUCUCGAGUGUUCUCUGAAUUUUCCACAUUUUUCUUUGAUCUGAGCCUCUCCCUCCUUUUGUGCACCCCUGAGGGGAAAUCUUACCUAAAGCCAGGUCACAUAAGAUAAAGGGUGGCUAAAAGGAGGAUAGAGGAGAAAUAAUUUAAAGCCAAUUAUCUGACUCGUAGUGCAUCCGGCUGAUUGACUUCAAGGGCUGCUGAUAGGGAGCAGGGAAGGAUAUGGGAGACCUUGAGAGAGAAACACCACCCUCUGUAAGGCCCUUGAGUUUUCUGAGAAAGGAAGGAGGACCAGAUUAGGCUCGCAGAUGGUCACGAGCAGUGCAGACAGAACCGCUUGCCGUCGGGAGGCGGAGGAUGGGAUCUGAAUUGUCAGCAGAGGUAAUGGUCGCUAGAGGACAAGGAGCCCUGACAUUGCCCACCUGCAGCUUGGCACUCCCAGACUUAGAGACAGGGUUGGAAAUGGUGCUGGUGGAACCCUGAGGAUGUGCCCAGCAAGGAAAGGUGUGUUACAGGUUGCUUCUGACUCUUGGGUCCAAAGUUCCUCUCCUGAUAGUGGGUACACAGUUUUUCCUUUACAACUAAGGGUCAUUUCCGUGCUGCUGGUGGAGCGCUAAGACUAAACGGUUUGGUAGGCCGCCUGGGGUCUCACUGCCUUUGGAUUCUCCAGCAUCAUAACCCAGAAUACAAAAUAUCUGGCUUGAUUCCUGAGCAUGCAGUUGUCCCAAAUCAGCCUUCUGUCACAUGUAUGGCAUCAGGAAACCAGUGCUUGAGGAUCUGAAUGGAGUGUGAAACAGCACUAGUGUUUUGUCUGGCCAGGCUGUACUCCUCACCGGGAUCUAUCUGCCAAAUUUCUCCCCCGAGUGCCUCUUCAUUUUUCCUCUUGAACCAAUGCUUCCUCUCAUU